AGCAUAAUCAGAAUCGCAGUACC
rnacentral:siRNA from 1 species